GUAAAGCGUUCAUGAAAUGAACACUGAUUGGUUGUCACAGAACUGAAGGGGAACAGAAACCAUUAACAUGCUGAAUCAAUGAAUUGCGAAGAAGAACAUUAGAAUUAUUAGGAAUUCUGUUUCCAACUAGAUUGAUUUAUACUGAAAUGGUUUCAGUUUAUUCUCCAGCGAGUUCACUGCAAGUUGAUUUCCUCCAUGGUAACCUUACCUCUUGUCAUCAGUUACUGCCGCCGGCUUCUUUCUCGUCCCCUUGCUGGAGCCACUUUCAGUUCCGGCCGUUCGCGGCGGGGCUAAAGAUUGGCGCCGAAGGCGGCGGGAAUCGGAGCAGUCGGGACGCUUACAGCUCGGAGCUGUUGAGGAGGCCGGUGAUUGAGCCGUUAUUGGACACCGCAGCGGAGGAGCCUGCUAAGGAGGAAUCGGACAAUGAGGUGGAGAGAAAGAGUGUGGAUGGGUGGGUUGAUUGGGAGGACGUGAUUUUGGAGGAAACGGCUCCGCUUGUCGGACUUGUUAGGAUGAUUCUCCAUUCUGGAAAGUACGAAGCUGGUGAUAGACUAAGCCCCAAACAUGAGAGUACUAUUCUAGAAAGGAUUCUUCCACAUCAUCCAGAGUAUGAAAUGAAGAUUGGGUGUGGUGUUGAUUAUAUUACGAUAGGAUACCACCCCAUUUUUGGAAACUCAAGAUGCUUAUUCAUAGUACGAAGGGAUGGAGAAUCGGUUGACUUUUCUUAUCAGAAGUGUAUAAAGGCUUUGAUCAGGAAAAACUACCCACUCUAUGCUGACAGCUUCAUUCUUAGGCACUUUCGGGGACGUAACAAGUUUAGGCAUGAUUGAAGAGAUGGUGUUUGGACUUUCUGCACGUGAUUACAGCACUGUCGAUAUAGUUGCUUCAUGGGCUAAUUACAUGAUUUUUCCUCUAUUUUGGAGUUCUAAAUUACUUGCCCUUGUCCACAAUCUAUCACUCAAGAACCAACUGAGCUGUCGGUACUGGCAAUUCCUAAUUGGAUUCCAGGUACUAUAACUUUCUCCAAUUCUCCCUUGUCCAUAUAGAGUUGACACUUGAUAGUUCCUUUAUUUUGGAGUUCUAGAUUAUUUGCCUUUGUACACAAUCUAUCACUUAAGAACCAACUGAGCUAUCAGUAU